UAGGAUGUCUUAUAGUAAUGAUUCCAUGAACGUUGUCAUAAACUCACCUAUGGCAACACUUUACUGAAAAAAAAAGCUAUUGCAUCGUUUUUGAUUUUUUCCAUGUCCAAUUUUUGACAAAUUUCUCCAAAAAUUAAAGAAAUAAAUAACAAAAAUCGAAGACAUAUUUGAUUAGAAAGAUAUAUAGCGAUUUUUGUUUACACUCUCAAAUAACUCUCUGUGUCUCACUGCUCUGACUACCACUCCAACCAUCAGUGCUCUGACUACCGCUUCGACUACCAAUCUCCGACCACCGGUGCUCCGACCAAAAAUUAGUCACUACGAUUACCCAAAUUUACAAGCUUAAAGAAGUUUUCGAUUGAACCCUCUAGGCGUCUAUGGAAACAAUACUUUUGUGCCCUAAAUUUUGCAGUUGUCUUGUACAAUAUAGAAAAAAUGGCAUUUGACUGUUCCAGGUUUUUCAAGUGAGGAUAAGAAAUACCAUUCAAAACAUUAAAAUUCAAGAUGCAAGAGAACCAGUAAUAAUGGAAGUAAAAAAGAUGAUUUCUAUGCAAGUAGGGAAGAAAGUAUAGCUGACAACUUAUAUGAUAAGUCGUCAUCCUUGUGAUAAGCUAUCAGAGUUGCCAUCAGCCUUAGAUAGAGAAUGAGAUUCAGCUGGAAGAAGUGACGACAACCUGUGAUAGGCCGUCAGAGUUGUGAUAAGUCGUCAAGCUUAUCGUUAGGCUUAGGCAGUGCUUCAGGACUUGAAGUGAAGAUGCGAUGACAAUUCUGAUAAGUCGUCACAUGUCUGAUAAGCCGUCAGGCCUCAUCGUCAACUAAAGAUAGAACUUGUUCAAAUGUGAAGAGGAGCUGAUGACAUUAUUAAUAAGGCAUCAAACUCCUGAUAAGCCAUCACACAUGUCGUCAUUUGUUUGAGAAAAUACUGUGAUCUAUGAUUUUGUUUCCAUAAUUAGGAUGAAGUAUUUAAAGCAUAUGUUAGGGUUUUCUAAUAAAAAGGGGCGGAAUAUCUUGAACUUAUUAAAAAGGUAAAGACACCUCUUUUUGGGGCUCAGAAACUUUGAAUUCAAUUUUCAACUCUUUGAUUUGGUUGUGUGAAUUUUCUCUUGAACUUAGAAGAGAAUCAACUUCAGACUUCAUCGUUUGUAAGUUUAAUUAUUUUGAAUGAUGAUUACAAUUGUUUCUA